rnacentral:rRNA from 1 species
CAACUCGCCUACAUGAAGUCGGAAUCGCUAGUAAUCGCGGAUCAGCAUGCCGCGGUGAAUACGUUCCCGGGCCUUGUACACACCGCCCGUCACACCAUGAGAGUUUGUAACACCCAAAGCCGGUGGGGUAACCUUUUGGAGCCAGCCGUCUAAGGUGGGACAGAUGAUUGGGGUGAAGUCGUAACAAGGUAUC